rnacentral:rRNA from 1 species
AUGGAGGACCUCCGCCGCCAGUACUGGGGCUACUACCCGUCGGCGGCUGCGGAGCAACGGCAAGCCGGCGGCGGGAAGAAGGGCCGCCGGGGAAGCACCAAAUCCAAGGGCGAGAAGGGAUUCAUCGAGGGAUGCCUGGCGGCGUUGUGCUGUUGCUGGAUCUGCGAGAUGUGCUGCGACUAA